GAUCUGGCUCAGGAUGAACGCUAGCUACAGGCUUAACACAUGCAAGUCGAGGGGCAGCGGGAUUGAAGCUUGCUUCAAUUGCCGGCGACCGGCGCACGGGUGAGUAACGUGUAUCCAACCUUCCGUACACUCAGGGAUAGCCUUUCGAAAGAAAGAUUAAUACCUGAUGGUAUCUUAAGCACACAUGUAAUUAAGAUUAAAGAUUUAUCGGUGUACGAUGGGGAUGCGUUCCAUUAGGUAGUAGGG
rnacentral:rRNA from 1 species